GAUGAACGCUAGCUACAGGCUUAACACAUGCAAGUCGAGGGGAAACGACAUCGAAAGCUUGCUUUGGUGGGCGUCGACCGGCGCACGGGUGAGUAACGCGUAUCCAACCUGCCCACCACUUGGGGAUAACCUUGCGAAAGUAAGACUAAUACCCAAUGAUAUCCCACGAAGGCAUCCGAAUGGGAUUAAAGAUUUAUCGGUGAUGGAUGGGGAUGCGUCUGAUUAGCUUGUUGGCGGGGUAACGGCCCACCAAGGCUACGAUCAGUAGGGGUUCUGAGAGGAAGGUCCCCCCACAUUGGAACUGAGACACGGUCCAAACUCCUACGGAAGGCAGCAGUGAGGAAUAUUGGUCAAUGGGCGCAAGCCUGAACCAGCCAAGUAGCGUGAGGGAAGACUGCCCUACGGGUUGUAAACCUCUUUUGUUUGGGAAUAAAGUGCGGGACGCGUCCGCAUUGCAUGUACCAUUUGAAUAAGGACCGGCUAAUUCCGUG
rnacentral:rRNA from 1 species